AUCCAAUCACCAAGCUCCACACCAUCUUUCUUAUGGACCAUGUUUUCUGUACUCCACUCUGCAAUAAUCAAAUAACAUCUUGUAUUCAUAUUUUUUCCCACUAUUAUUAUAAUUGGAUAUGCAAAAAAAAAAUAGCUUCAUCCAUUGAAAGCUAAACAUGUUUUUGGAUAAAAAUAUAUUAAAUUUGAAAAAAUGAAUUUAGACUAUAAUAUUAAAAAAUAUUUAAAAAAUAAAUUGGGUUUUAGUUAAAUAUUUGAAGUAUAGACAUAGAUAGAAUUAAUUAAUUAUAAAUAUAGAUAAAUUUCAACAAAAUUUAUAGAUGCCAUUAAUAUGAUAUGUGUGUGUUGAUCCAACCUGAGGUCUAAUUAAAGCUUUCCAUGUCAGAGUUUACGUUAGAAUUUAGAACACCCUCUAUAUUUUUGCUAUAUUAGACAUACUUAAAUUUUAAACCCCAUAAGAGAAUAUGCAUAUACAUAUACAUAUAGAUAUACAUACCGUAUCGGUUCCAGCAGGGCCUGGUGAAGAAGCGCCGAGGCUGGGAGUAGGGGCCUCAUUUGAUGGAGACGGUGGGCUGGAGGCCGAAGGUGAUAGUGCUGGAGACUUAGCUUUGGUCUUGCUAGGGGCCGGAGCUGGAACCGUGGCAGGAGGAGAAGCCAAAGGAGCUGGUGGUGGGGUAGCUGGAGGAGGAGUAGCAGGAGGGGGAGAAGCAGGUGGUGGGGUAGCCGGAGGUGGAGAAGCCGGUGGGGGAGUUGCGGGAGGUGGAGUAGCCGGGGGAGGAGAAGCUGGUGGUGGGGAGCUAACGGGCGGGGGAGUCGCUGGAGGAGGAGUGGAAACUGGUGGUGGUGAUGAAGUAGGAGGAGGAGAGGAAGCUGGUGGCGGAGAAGUAGUUGUGGGUGUUGGAGGUGGUUGAGUAGUAGGUGGAGGUGUGGAAGCGGGUGGAGUCGGCGGCGCCGGCGUGGAUGUCGGAGGAUUACUAGGAGUAGGAGGAGCUUGGCCUAAAACGCCAGCUACAGCAAUGCAAAACAAAGCUGAUAAGAACAAAAACUUAUUAUUAAGCAUCAUAUUGGAAACAAUGGUGACCCUUUAAUCCUGCACACCCUCUCCGCUUAAACUACGCCCAGCCGUGCAAGCAAAUGAGGGAGAAGAAGAGGCAAGUAUGAGAAAUGAAAAGAUGGUGAUAUUUAUAUAUAGGAUAUGGAAAUUUCCAUAUCAUAUUUCAAUUUAAAAUCCCCAAAACAAAUACCAGCAUUUUUAUUUUAUUACUAAUGGGAAAAUUGCAUUACUAAUCAUAUACAAUAUUCUAUAUUAAUUUAGUGUAAUUUAAUUCUUUCAUUUUUUUAUAAUGUUAUUAAUAGGUCCAAAAUCAAUAUCUCCGAUCGUUAGUUGCUGUCAUUAAAGUGAUGAUACGAAAUUAUUUUUUUUACUAUUAUUCCAUCAUACAAUCAGAGAUAUAGAAAUCAAUCAAUUUUGUUAAACAAAUAAUAAAUUUCAAUCUGAGUCAAAUGCUUAAAGUUGUUAAAAAAAAUUCACGUCAUCACUUUAACAACAUCAACUAAUAGCGUUAUCAAUUUGUACUUUGUAGCUACCAAUAACAUUAUAAAAAUAAAGGGUCAAAUUAUAUAGAAGUAAAGGAUUAAAUCUCUAAUUUCAAUUUAGUAAAGGGACUAAAAUGGAAUUAAACCUAUUAGUGGGGGUCGGAGUUUUUUCCUCGUUUGGUGAGGUAAAAAAAAAAAAAAACCCUAGUGGGGCAUAGUUAUAAUGUCACUUUGAUGAUUAUAAAUGAUGCGUUAGUUAGUCAUACUUUAGGUAAAAAACUGUGAGGUGGGAUUAGUGUAGAUUGAAAAUUUUUAGUGAAGGGGUUAAUUUAUACCUUCAAAAUUUUGCAAUAUUUGGUAGUUCCAUGAAAUAUUCCCCGCUAUUUAUCAACUUUUCAAUCACUCAAAUAGGUUUUAAUUUAGUUUUGUUGUGAAAUUUCUAAUUCAAGCAUACAAUGAGUAGAUUUUAUUAUGGGUCGGGUCGGGUUAUUAUAAAAUUUUAGGUGUAACGUCCCGAAUUUUUGGGCCUAGAAGUUAAAAGAUUUAAGCAUAGGGGCAGUAAGGAGGCCACACAUAAGUGAUUAGUUGUGCACUAUAGUGAUAAGAAUGGGCUUAUUAGUCUAGUGGUUAAAUGGAGUGUUAAUUAAGUUCAAGGUUUUUGGUUUGAGUCACUAUGUGUACAUUUUGGGAGUCUUUUUAUUUUGUUUUUUUUUAGUUAGUGAUAAUAAUUAAUUAUUUUAUUUUAUUUUUAUUAUUUUUCUUUUCUUUUCCACGUUAGUUCUCUCUACUUCUUGGUUUUUUUUUCUUUUUGUUCUUUUUCCUUGGACUUUCAAUUUGUGCAUUCUCUAUGUUUUUGAAUCGUUUGCUUACAGAUUUCGAAUUGUCGCACCUCUAUCGUCUUCUUCGUCGUUCAAUCAGGUGAGGGAUUCAAACUUUAACUACAUUGUUUAAUUUUGCAAAGUUUACGUGCGGCUUUUCUUGAAUAUGUGAUAACCCGAAGGUUUUUGGGUUUUGAUCGUUGGAAGUGAGGAAAAUACGUUAUAUUGUGAUAUGUUCUUGAUGUGGUUAAGGUUAGGGACAGUUUGGGUGGCUAAAACGGUGUUUUCGGGGCUAAUUUGGGGUGGUUUCAUGACCUCUCCGGCAGCUACACGGGCGUGUGCCGUGGUAGACAGUCAUAUGGAUUUGGGAACUAGGGUUUCCAGGCCAAAUUGGAUGCCACACGGCCGUGUGGCCGAUUUGGGGAUUUUGUCGAAAUUCACACGGCUGUGUCCCCUAGGCACAUGGGCAUGUGGGUUUGGAAUUAGGGUUUCAGAGAUUUGAAGUCACACAGCCUGGCCAUACGGCUGUGUGGCUGAUUUUGGGAUUUAGGGAUCCCACACGAGUGUGUGUUUCGUAACACACAACCAUGUCUAGUUGGCACACGGGCAUGUGAGACCCUCACAUAGCCGUGUCUGCCCUGCACCUUAUUUUAGCGAAAUUGGACAGUGAGUUACACAGCCUGUUCACACAGUCGUGUCUCUGCUUCGCACGGGCGUGUGCCUAUGUCACAUGGCCGUGUGCUAUCCUUCACAAGGGCGUUUGAAGCCUCACACGAUCUGGAUUGCUCUACACGGCUGAAGCAUACGGGUGUGUAGCCCUAUCUCGCCAAAUAAUGAUUUUAGGUCAAAUUUAAGUGCAAUCGUGACUCUAUGUAUUCCAACCCUCGACUGAGCUCUAGUGAGGGUAUUUACGACGCUGAUCUGAGUUUGGAUAAUGUGUUAAUUGUGAUUGGUUAUGUGACAUGUUUGAUUCUGAACCCGGGUUAGCUGGGUGAGUGUGUAUGCAACUAGUUCUGUCUGACUGUUUGAAUACGUGUCAUUGAUAUGCGAGCUUAUUUUGCAAUUGCUACUGAAUUCAAGUUACGAGUAUACUUAAGACUAAUUUUGUAACUAACUGAUUGGAUGUGAGCGUCUACUUCUGAAUAAUUGUUUGAGACUAGUAUUCUGAUUGUGUACAUCUGACUGCAUACAUACAUACAUAUGCAUAAACUAUUUUGGGCGGGAUUUUUGAAGAGAAGGUGUUGUAGGCCAAUUUUGGGCCCGUUUACACUUUAGGCCGAACAUACAUCAAACCCAUUUACAAUUAAACCCCAGCAUAACCCACAACCCAAACCCAACAAAUAAACCCAAAACCAAACCCAAAUUUAACCCAAUUCAAAUCCCAUAGACCCAAACCCACAUGUAAGCCCAAGUUGUUAGACCCAACUAGCUUGAUUUAGGGUUUCAAAAAAACUGAAACCCUAACCUACCCCCAGCGCCGCCAACGUCACAUCGCCCAUGCCAGUCCACUUGCACUACCUUUGCUCCACUGUUCAACCACCACCUGCAAAACAAAAGAGCACGCAACAGCAGCGCAAAAAUAGGAAAUAGACAGUGUAUGAACAACAAAAUCGGCUAUAAAGCCGAAUGGAAACCAAUGUAAUAGAAAAUAUUUUCGGUUAUUUUCUUCAUCAAUACAAAAAAAUAGAUUUAAACAUAUACAAGCAAUAAUUCGGGGAAAAUCAAAACACUAGAAUAACACCAAUUGGGCAACCAAAACAUCAAUAUCAAAAGCCUAAGGUGAUUUAAAUCUUUUUAUUUUUAUUUAUUUUUGAAUCAUACAUACCUAUGUAUUUUCAUAAAUAGUAUAAUAAAAAGGAAAAUAAAAGAAUAAAAAAAAGAUAGGAAAUUUUUACCUUUUCCGGCCACCGUGCGACGGUGGCACACGGCGGUCCGGCAACCAGACGUGGACGGCGACCGGCCUUGUGGCCGGAAUUCGCCUCUCCUUCUCCCCUCUCUCUUUUUUUUCUUUGCUAUGCAGAAAAUGAAUUUUUUUUGAAGAUUUUGGCCUUUUUAUAGCUUCCUAAAACGACGUCGUUUUGGGGGUUGCCCUUUAACCUCAAAACGACGUCGUUUUGCCCUGGAUCAGGUCGACCCGACCCUACCCACUCAGGAUCUGAGUGUUUUUGCUCUUAGGGGCUAAUUGCGCACGCGGUCCUUCCGCUUUUUCUAUGUUUUUCAAUCAGGUUUUUUAUGUAUUUUAAUUUGGCCCUAUAAUUAGUUGCGCUUUCCAAUUUGGUCCUCAAUGCUAUUGCGCAUUUUGGGUGGAGAGGCUUAUUUCGUUUUAAGUCCCUCCACUAUUUGUGCGCGUUGAAAUAGGUCCCCUUCCCUUCUUUUUAUUUCAGUUUUUGCCCCAAGCCUUUUAUUUUUAAUUCGAUUCGAUCCUUUUUUUAAUUACUUUAUUAUUAAAAUUAAUUAUUUUAGUAUUAUUGUUAUUAGCACUAUUCAUGUACAUAUAUAUUAUCAUUAUUGUUACUAUUACUAUUAUUAAUCUUCAUAUUAUUACUAUUAUUUCUUUAUUUUUAUAUUAUAUUAUAUUAUAUUAUUAGUUUUUACUAUUAUUAGUAUUAGUUUUAGCUUCAAUUAAUAUUUUUAACAUGCAUAUUUAUAUACUUUUAUGUAACAUUAUUAAUAAUUAUUUUUUAAAAUAUUAUUAUUAUUUUUUAAUACAUGCAUAUAUAUUAUGUGUAUAUUCUUUUAAUAGACAUUAUGUAUAUAUAAUUUUAUAUAUUAUUUUUAACUUUACAUUAUGUAUAUAUUGUUAAUAUCAUAUUAUUCAUAUAUUCUAUUAUAUUAUAUAACUAUAUUAUGUAUGUAUUUUUAACACUAUAUUACGUACAUACUUUCAAUAUCAUUAUUAUUAUGUAUAUAUAUUUUUAAUAUAUAUAUGUGUAUAUUUAUGUAGUAUUAUUAAUAGUUGUUUUUAAUAUUAUGAUUAUUUCUAGUAUAUAUAUAUUAUGUAUAUACUUCUAAUACUAUAUAUUGUAUAUUUCUAAUACCAUUAUUAUUUAUAUGUGUAUAUGUGUAUGUAUUUAUGUAUCGUAUUAUAGUUGUUGUUUUUUUUGUAUCAUUAUUGUUGCUAAUAUAUAUAUAUCAUGUAUAUAUGAUUUUUUUUAUAUAUAUUAUGUAUAUAUCUUUAAUAUUAUAUUAUUUAUAUAUUUAUGCUUACAUAUUAUCUUACGUAUAUAUUUUUAAUAACUAUAUUAUGUAUAUACUAUUACUAUAUAUCUAUUUAUGUUGCAUUAUCAAUGGUUGUUUUUACUAUUAUUAUUAUUCUUAAUAUAUAUAUUAUGUAUACAUUUUUAAAUACUAUAUUAUAUACAUAUAUUUUUAAUACCAUAUAUGUACAUAUCAUUAUUAUAUCUAUUUUUACCCCUAUUACAUUUGUUAUUAAUAUUAGUAUAUAUUUUAUUAUACGUGUAUAUAUAUACUUUUUAAUAUAGUAUUAUUUUUAUAUAUCAUUAUAUUUAUUAUUAUACUUAUUAUUUUCGCUAUUGUUACUUAUUAUUUUAUUUUAAUAUUAUUGUGUAUUAUUUGGUAUACAUAUAUCUUUUUGUACAUAUUGUUAUUUUUUAUUAUACGUAUAUUAGUUUAUUAUGGUAUUAAUACAUUUUUACCUUUUUCUUUUAUUGUAAAUAUUAUUUAUUAUUACUCUAAUAUCCUAAUAUUAUAUUAUAAUACUUUUUAUUAAUCAUCUCAUUAUUUUGCAUCGUUUAUUUACUUAUGAAUUUUUGUUAACAUCAUCAGUUUUUUUUUAUCAUUAUUUUAGAAACAUUUUUAUUUUAAUAAAUAAUGCAACGUACCGAUUUUAACAUUAAGUUUGUGAUUUCAUCGCUAUGUUGGGUGAAUCACGUUGGCUCGUGUUAAAAACGGGACAUCCUUCAAAAAAACCAAAAACUUGAAAUUUCUCGUGUCUUGGUCGGAUCAUGAUUAAAUAUUAAAUUAAACUUGUAUUUUUGAAAAUUAAGACAACGCGUAAUUAACAAGAUACUAAUUUUGGGCGUCGUGAGGGUGCUAAUACCUUCCUCGCGUGUAACCGACUCCCGAACUCUAUUUUCCUCUGGAUUUUCACGUAGACCCAAAUUCGGCCUUCAUUUUUGUUCAAGAAUAAAUUUUCUUUUCUAAAAAGAAGAUUUAUUAGGUGUCUGAUCACACCUAGAAAAAAGAUCGGUGGCGACUCCUUUUCUUUUUAAAACCGAAAUUCCAUUUUCAAAUAAUCGCCUCAACUAGCGACCGGAAAGUGAAAUUUUUACGUUGCUACAGAAGGAAGAUUGACUGAACUGAACUGAUAGCUAAUAUGUUGCCCCUAAUACCCAGAGGGUCAUGGGCGGUCCCAAUACCCUGAGGAUCGUGGUUAAUUUGACUGUACUGCGGACUAUCGCACUGUACUGUACAGAACAUACAUCAGCACCGCUGCUAUCAUUGACUAAACUGGCAAUUUUACUGCAACCUAACGAUAUAGCGGUCUACCGCAUUGCAUUGUACCGCAUGUACGUUAGCUACGCUACGUACUAUUAUCUGAUCUGGCAGUUCAUACUGCAUGUCUGUACCGCGGUUCACCGCAUUGCACAGUACAACCUAUACGCUGGCUUUCCUACGUAAUUUACGUGACUAGCAGUUUAUCUGCAUACUGUUAGCCCAAAUUCCCAGAGGGUCGAUGGCAAUCCCAAUACCCUGAGGGUCAUGGACAAUGCUGAUGAUCAUCGUUGUCGGGUAACCCGGGAUGACAUCAUAUGGGGUGUAGGGUUGGAUGGGCUUUGCGAGGUCCUGUAUGGAGUGUUUGGUGGGACAAGCUUAAAGCUUUUAUGAGAAGUGAUGGGGGACGGAGAGGUGUGUUGGCUGGAUAGGUGGAUAUUUUUAGAACUCAUUUGUACUCAUAUGUAUCUGAUUGAUCUGUUUAACUGAAUUGGAACUUGUGAAUGGUUGAGAAUUAUUGCUACUGUGACUGAAUGUGAUACUGUUCGAUUGAGAGGCACUUGUGCCUAUGUGAAUUUUGUAGAUUCUGAUUGCGACUGUCUGACUGGAUUCUUACUGUGACUGAUUAAGAUUUGUUGCUACUCUGUCUGAGUGGUACUUGUGGCUGAGUGUAUCUAACUGAUUGAGUUAAAACUAGUGGCAGAAUAGCACUAUGUUUGUGUAGCUGAGUGUAAUUUUUAAUAUGCAUUAACAAAUAUCUGUCUGUCGGUACGUCCGUUUCGAACGUACCCUUUGGUUCUGAAUAGCUCUGUAAGUAUGUUUUAUUUCUGAACUGCUUUUAGUUCCCUGUUUCUGUCUCUGUAGUUUAACUGGUUUGAUCUCAAACUGAGCUCGAGUAGCUCACCCCCUCUUUCGUUUCCCUUUUCAGGUACAAUUCUGGAUUAUGUUGAUGGACUUGGCACGCGAAGGUCUCAGACAGUCUCGCAAACAAAUAAAUUAUCAGUUUUGUUUUCCGUUACGAUUUUGUUAUUUGGUUAACUUUGAACUGUAAGGCUUUAUAAUACUGUGGUACAGUUUCCAUUUUAGAUUUUCAUGCAUACGUUUAUUUUGGGUUUUAUAUUGAGUCUUACUGUAAAUUUUAUUGACUGAUUAUUAAAUGGUUUUAAACACUUUUGGUUCACUGAGAUGAGUUAUUUUGUAAAAUUUUCCUACGAUCACUUCGGUGAUCAAUGUAGCAUUCCGAAUUCGGUCUAGACUUUUAGGCCGAGUUUGAGGUGUUACAUUAGGUUUAUUUUUUAGGUUCUAAUUUGACUCGAAAAAUAGGUCUAAAAUUUUAACUAAACCCAGUUUAGAUAAAAAUAUUAAACCCAAGUCCAAACGUAUUAAACUUUUUAUAUUAUUAUUUAUAAAAAAACAAAUUUAAAAAAUAUAAUACAUCAAAUACACUAAAAAUAUUAAAAUAGAUGUUUCCUAAUAAAUUGAAAAUACAUUAAAAAAGUUUUUAUACUUAACAAGCAAAUGCCUUUAAAAUAGUAGCAAAAUUAACAAGCCCAUGAUUAGGUCUAAUGAUGAGUUCUUUUGUUAGUAAUGUUUAUUUUGGUAUUUGAGUUUUUUCUGUCUUAAUUUGGUACUUAAUUUUGACUUUAAUUUUUUUCCAAUUAAGCACUUAAGUUUGGCUUCAAUGUUCAAUUUGGUACCUAAUUUUUUUUGUCCAAAUUAAUUACCUAUAUAUUUUUUACCAAAGCAUGUGUGUCAAACAUUUAUUGGAUCAUAUGAUGACAUUUGGCUUAGGUAUCAAAUUGAAUAUCAAAUUCAAACCUAAGUACUAAAUUGAAACAAAAAACACAAAUACUAACUUAAGUAUUAAAGCUAAACUCAAGUAUCAAAUUGUAUAUUAAUCAUUGGUAAACAAAAUUUCAAGGAUUAGCAUCUACUAAGCUUUCAUUUUCCCUUUUGCAUGUUACAAUUGAUAUUUGUUUAACGCAUAAACUUGGUAUCUUUUUUCCCGUAAUGAUCCAUUUUCAACAAUUUUUGUACACCUAUAUUAAAAUCUGAAAUAAUUUGGUUAUCUUCAACAUACAUAAAGCUGUUAUAUUAAAGUUUAUUUAUAGUUGAGAUUUUUAAAGGAUUUUUAUAAGAUAUUUUUUACACAUUCUUUCCAUGACAUUAAGGAGUAGGGAAGAAAACGUGGUAGUGUUAAAAGGAUCAGUUCAUCUAAACAAGCGGAAAGUCAAAAUAAGAAACAAAUUAAGGAGGAGUAGGGGACUCACACAUCCAUAACAUAUGCAUAUGUUAAUAUUAAAAAUUUACACAACGCAAUUGUAAAUGGUGAGACUUGGACUUCGAUACUUAAAGACCCAAGAUAUCGCCUUAACCAAUAAUGUCAACAAGAUCUCAUUAACUUUUUAGGAAUUUUCUUAACUUCACAUAUAGGGAUUAAAAAAUUACGAUAUAACUCAAUAUAAUAUUAAAGAGUAAAAGUUAAUCAAAAUUUACAUAUAUCACUCAUUUAAUCAUAUGUGUACAGAUAAAAGGAAGCCACUCAUCCUCUUGCCAACCCUACGUGUAACAUAAUUCACUAUAAAUUCCACCUACAUAUACAUACAUACAUAAAUAUAAAAGAGAAUUUCAUGGUCUUGGACUAGAUUGGCUACAAAAUUUGACAAACGGCAUGUGUAGGAGGAUUAAAUUCGAUGAAUUGCAUGAGAGUUUCUCCUUUUUGAUAAUUUAGUACAUGAGAGAAUAAUGAUGAUUGUGGGGGGGGGGGGGUGCUCCAUCGAAAUAGCUGGAAUUUAUUUAUUUUAGUGAACUGGCAAAUGUAAUUUGUACGCCAAGUUAUAAGGUGAAAAAGGGAGAAAUCAUAUAGAUUUGGUUGGUAAUGGUAUGUUGAUGUUGGAACACCUGCGGUGCACCGCCACAAUUAGUAGGCCCCUAGCCCCGCUGUCACCCCAUCAUAUGUGCUUUUGGAUGGAUCCAACAUUUUCGUGUUCUUUCAUUCUUCAACAUCAUCAUUAUUAAUUAGUUACUCUUCAAUUUCUAUAUGUAAUUUGCUUUCUUUUCAUUCAUAGGUUUUCUGUUUUCUGUCUUUGAUUUUGUCUUGUGCACAACUGAUGUCCUCCAUUUUUUUCCCCUUUUGUAGAAUUGGGUUUGUCACUUUAAUAGUGCCCGAAAUUAUUUUAUGGAUUUUUUUCAUCAUAUCAUUUAUAAUCUAUUUUUAGUUAUUUAAUGAUAUUUUAGUAAUUUUUUUAUGUUAUUGACACAUAAUUUUACUAAUUUUUUUACCCAGAACCCUCAAUCUUGAGUUUAGAAUCUUGAACCCCGAACCUUGAACCCUAAACUCAAACAUUAAACUCCAAACCUAAACCUUAAAUCUUGAAACCCUCAAGGUUUAGGUUUGAGGUUUAAGUUCAAAUUCAAGUUUGUAGUUCAGGGUUCGAGGUUUGAAAUUUAAGGUUCGGGUUCAGGGUCAGAGUUCAACAUUCAGGAUUCUAGGUUUGGGGUUUAAGAUAAAAAAAAAUUACCAAAAUUAUAUGUCAAUGACAUGAAAAAAAAAUUACUGAAAUGUCAUUAAAUAAUUAGAAAGGGACCAUGGAUGAUGUGGUGGGAAUGGUCCAAAAAUAAUUUCUCAUUUGUAUGGGAUAUUAUUCAUUAUCUAUUAUAAUUUGAUAUCUCUAUUUUUAUAAUAUUAUUAGGGGAAAGGAUUGUAUGAAACAGUGACGCCAUGUCAUCUGUAUCCCUUUCCAAUAAUUUUAUGCCAUAUCAUUACUUUUAUCCUCAAUUUCAGGAUUUUAUCCUGAAAAAAAUCAAAUCCAAAUUAAAAUCCUGAAAUUCAGGAUAAGAAUAUUGAUGUGGCAUAAAACUAUUGGAAAGGGAUACAGAUGACGUGGCGUCACUGUUUCAUACAAUCCUUUCUCUGUCCAAAUUUAUAACAAUGUUGAUUGCUUCACUAAAAUGAGAAGGUCCAAAAGAGUUAGAAGAUGUUAUUGAGAUUAAUAAAGGAGUAAUUUAUUUCGAGAUAGAUUAAUAUAAUUUAUUUGUGUUUUUUAUUUAAAAAAAAAAGUAAAAGGACGUAGUAAAGGAAUUUUCAUGCAUCAAUAAUUUAUUAUUUAAACUAUGAAAUUUCAAAAAAGAAGAAAUUCAUGUUGAAAUUGAUACUAUCAAGCAAUUUAAAAGUGUAAAAAUUUCAGUAUCAGCUGGAUAUUUAAUGUCAAAUAAACUAAAGAAAUGAGAAACACAAGCCAAUUGUCCACAAUGAUUAACUUGUUCCUAAAAAGAAAGUUGUACAUAGACUUUGCUUAUAAAUCAAUCCAAUUUUUUUUUAUAUAAAAGGAAACAUAUUACAUACUUAUAUUGAGUUAUUUGUACCACAACCCACUUAAAUUAUGAUUUUAAUUUUCGAUUGAGUCUUAGUUCAAUUGAUAUUGGCAUUAUUAUCUGUGGAGGAGUGGAUUCAAGUGCGCUGAAACGCAUUAUCCUUCUAUUUAAAUGUUGGGAAGGAACUAUAGAUUCGAAAGCAGAUAUGAUAAGAACCUAUAAUAAAAUUAAUGUAAUGCCUCCUUUUUCCUUUAAAUCCUACUUAAAACACACUUACUUAUUAUUUGCUAAAAUAUUGACAAAUCUAUAAUUUGAAUUCGAACAUUUAUAAUUCAAUCUUGGUCCCUUUAAUACAAAAAAUGUUGGCUUCACCCUUGAUCAAUUUAGUCAUCAAGUUUUUUUUUUUUAACAUAAAUUUCAAUAUAGAUUCUUAUCAUAUUAGCUCUUUUUGAUACAAUGCUUAUAACUAUCCAUAGCCCUUCCCCAAUCAUUAAAUAGUAGGAUAAUACACUUUAACGUAUUCGAAUCCACAUCCUCUUCUACUGACAACAAUGUCAAUCAAUACAAUUUUAAAUACGAGUGUACUACUUAGAUAAUCAUAUCCAAGGUACACAUACUUUUAAAAUUUGAUCCACACACUUUAAAUAUACCCCACCUCUGAUCUAAUCUAGCAUUUAUCACCUAAGCUGACGGUUAGAGGAACAAAAGAACUUGAUUGAUAUAAUAUCAAUAUUUUAUAGACUCAAUCGUACCAUAAUUAUGGACGUUUUCGCUGAGUUAACUCUAUAUCUAAAUAAGUCAUGGUAAACAUUCAAUAUUAAAAAAGAUAAAGGGAAAGUAUAAUAACCCAAAACACCAAAUUUUGGUUGGUUUAAUUUGCAGCUUUAACCAAUGCUUUUGCAUGAUCCAUCAAUUAGUGAGGAUUUUGAUCUUAAUUGGAGGGUCCCAUUCGGUUAUUAAGCUCUUUUUCCACCCUCAUGAUUGCCAUAACAUGGGCCCUUACCGUUUUACUUUGGAUACCCUUUUAUCUUUGCUUUGCUUUGCUUUGAUUUAAGGUUUUAUACAUAAAUGGUCACUUAAACUAUACCUCAAUUUUUAGAUUUGUCCUUAAAGUUUUUUUUUUAUCAAGAGUGGCCCCCACACUAUCAAAUUUAUCUCAUUUUACCCAAAAAGCGUACAAUAUCCAAUAAAAAUAUUUAAAAUGUGACGCGUGUCACAUUCUUAUUGGUUAAUAUCAUUUUUUGAAUAAACAAAAAUAAAAUUAACAGUUUAGCGAUCACUUUGACCAAAUAAAAAAGUUUUAAGGACUACUUUAGGAAUUUAGAUAUAACUUAAGAGUUAUUUUAUUAAUAAAGCUUUGAUUUAUUCAUCAAUUAACACUGAAAGAGUUUUCCUUAAUUUACUCAAAUGGUCUUUUUGUUUGUAUCACCUAACAUUUUGAAGAACAUCCUUUCUCUGUGUACCUCAUACAAUUCGUUAAUACGAAAAUUUUAUGAUUUUUUUAAAAAUAAAUUUAAUUGUCACGUUGCAGGUUACAAAUACUUUUAAAUAAGGGCUUUUUUCAUACAAGAAUACCAAUUAAAAAAUAUCUUCAAAGGUAUAUCAGUUAUACUCAGAUCAAAAUGUUUAAACUUAAUUUAUCUAAUUUCUUCGGCAGGGACCUAACCCAAAAUUGGUAAAAUUAAAAUUAGAUCUUUAUAAUUUUGAAGCAUUAAAAUUGAAUUUUUUUUAAAUUGUAAAAUUAUAAAUUUAGCCCCUAAAAAAAUUAUAAUUCAACUUCAGCCUCUAAAAUUUUUUCCUCUAACUUCAUCUCCCCAUAAUUCAAUAUAUUUAAAAAAAUUUGUGACUGACAUUACCAACAAAAAAUAUAUUUAUAAUUAGUAUUUAAUAUACAAUUAAUGAAAUGUUUUAAUUCUAUAAGCAAUGUUCAAAAUUUUCAUAUAUCUCAAUUUUUAAUAUUUUUUUUAUUAAAUCAUGAAUGAAAUAUAUAUUACCUUUCAGAUUUUACUUGUAGAGUCUAAUAACUAUAUGACGCAUUAAAUCAUUAUACAUAUAUAAGGUCAAGUGGUCCAUAGGUAGCUUAGAGUACAAGGGAUUAAGUUGAGGGUCUCUUAUCAUUUUCCCCAAAUGUGAAGUGAUGUUAACUGCUUAGCUUUCUCCUCUUGCCCCAUUCAUUUUCCUUCCUUUCCACAAUAUAUAUUGUAUAAGUAUUUAUGGGUAAUCGAUUGAGUAUUUACUCGAUUAAUAUGAGUAUUAAUGUCAAUAGAGGAGGACGUAGAUUUGGCGCAUUAUUCUUCUAAUCAUGGGUUGAGAGGCUAUGAGUAGUUUUAAAUAUUAUGUCCAAAAAAAACAGAUAUGAUUAGAACCUAUAAUAAGAUUAUUUAAAAAAAUAUUUAUGGGUAAUCAGUUUAUACAAUUUCGAUUAAAUGUAUAAAUCCAAUCAUUAAUCAUUAAAUUGUUUUACUUUAUGCCAUAGUAUUGUUUUAACUGCAUAAGCAUGUGGGUUAAUGAAAACUACUUAUAGUAUCUCAAUUAAAUGUAAUCAACAACCUCAACUCAUAUCUCCCAUCUCUCUCACUCUCAAUUAUAUAACCUAUUAAUAAUUAACAUUAAUAACCCACUUUCAAGUAGAUCUCAGGCUACCUGCCAUGCCAAGCCUAAAGCUUAUAAGAUGCUUGAAAAGGUUUGCACAAAUAUACAAGAAUAAGUAGGAUAAUGGUUUGGGCAAAAAUUAAGCUUAAUUAUUUAAAUUAUAGAUUAAAUUUAUCGAUAAAUCAUGUUAAGCGUAAUGAUAAGAUAUAUUAUACUCUUAAGAAAAGAAUGUAGAUUCAAAUACUAGAAACGAUAUUGUUAGGAAAAGUAAUCACAAAUCUCAAACAUGAAUCAUAAAAUAAACAUAUAAAAUACUAAAAAAAAUCGAAUUUAAACUCAUUUAAAAUUGUUGAAACAUGGAUAAUUUAACUCAAUAUUGCAACAGGAAUUUCGAUAUAGUUUCUAUAAAAUUUAGUGUUACAAUAUGAUUUCCCAUAGAAGUGUGAUAAAAUCAAUAAUGUUGACUUGUAUUAUUGCAUUAAGUAGUGCAUGAAAUGUAGGAUUCUAUUGUAAAAGAGAAUUAGAUAAAAUUGUAUAAAGUGCAUACUAAAAACUGUUUUGGAGGCUUUAAAGAAUUCUAUUCGCUUAAAAGGUAAGAGUCUACUUCAUCAGCUAAGGUUUACAAUGUAGGGUAAGUGUUCAAUCGAAUUAAGUGAAAAAAUUUUGAGUUUAUCGAGUUGAUGAGUCCUAUUUUAUCAUACUAACUUGAUUUGAAAUUUUCUCGAAUCGAGUCGAGUAAAAUGAAAUUCAAGCCAAAUCAAAUCAAGUGAAAUUAUUUGAGUUAAAUUAAAAAAUUAAACAUGUCAAAUUAAAAUCUUGUUAUAGUAUAACUAAUUUUAUGUUAGAGCACAUAAAUUUGAAAUCACAUAUAUUUGAAAACUUUUUCAAAGUAAAAUAAGAAAAAAAAUAAUUUAAUAUAAUAAACUUAAAUUAUUAAUUAACUUUUAUUUAAGUCCCCAAAAUUAUUAUUUUAAAAAAAAUUAAAUUUUUAACUUUCUUUAUAUACUUUAUAAUUUUUUUAAAAAAAUAUAAAAUUUGGAAUUUUUAUAAAUAUUUUGAAUUUUAAAAAUUAUUAUGAAAAUUUUGAAAUUUAUUUUGUAUUUUUUGUUGAAAGAGAUCAAUUUGCUUUUUUUUUUAAAAUUAAUAGGGACCAAAAGGGGUAUUUAUACCAAUCUAUUAUUCGAGUUAUUCGAAUUGUAAAAUUCAACUUGACUUGAACUCAGAACUCGAAUUACUUAUUCGAUUUAAUUCGAAAAAAUUGAAUAAGAUUCAAUUAACUUAGAAUUCGAUUUUUAUUUUAUUUUUUUGAUCAAAUCGAGUUUUGUUCACCCCUAAUAACUUGUUAGCAACUUAUGCAAGAAUUUUUUAAUUUUAAAAUAAAAGCUAAUAAGAUUAUUUUAUCUUGAUAUUAAAUGCUAUUUAUACAACAUAUAAAAGAUGGUGGAUACACACAGUUGGGGUAGACUUUUUGAGUGUUUCAUUUUUCGGGUUGAGGGAAUAUUUUGCAAGGUAAAUACACCUUGAUACCCUAGGUAUUAUUUGGAGAAUUUUAUUCACUUGUAUGCAAAGAUGUUUGCAAUAUGUGAUAAUAUUUUGGGAGAUUGGAUGCAAACAAUUGCAUACUAGUGAAACUACUUUUUAUCUACAUUUUGCAAGAUAGAUACAUUAUAAUUAGAGGUGUCCAUAAGUCGGAUUGGAUCCAAUCAAAAUUUUAUACCCAUUUGUCAGGCUAAAAAUAUUAAAAUUCGAGUCCCAUCUGGCCCGUUCGUAUUAAUUUUUUUAUAUAAUUUUUUAAAAUAUAUAUAAUACAUCAACAAUACUAAAAACAUUAAAAUAAAUGUUAAAAACAUUAAAAUAAAUGUUCCCCAACAAAUUGAAAAUAAAUUUACAAAUUGAUUAAUAAAUUUUAAAAAAAUAUGUAUACUUAAAUAACACUAAGAUAUGUAUAACUUAACAAGCAAAUACCUCUAGAAUAGUAACAAAAUUAAAAAUAAAACAACAGUAAUACAAUAUCCAAAUAAUAACAAUAAAAUAGUAGCAAUAUAAUUGUGAAAUGGUAGCAAAAUAAUGAAAAAGAAGAAGAAAAAAAAGAAAAAAAUUACAAUUCUUUUAUUUUGCAUAUUCGGGUCGGCUAUUUUCUAAACGGACCUUAUUUUUCAGCCAAAAAAGUCUUACCUGAGGCUCAACCCGUUUUCUAAACAAGCCUUAUUUUUUUGCCUAAACACAUUUUUCGGGCCUAUAUUUUUAUCCAAACCCUCCCACUUUUCAGGUCGGGCCACAUGUACAGGUUUAACCAUGAUAUAUUAGGUAUUAUUAUAAACUACUAAAUACUAAAUAAAAAAUAACAUUUAAAAUUAAAAAAAUGAAAAGAAAAAAAAACUUAAAUGAAUAUAUACAAUGUAACAAGGUACAUAAACCUACAUUGUGACAAGUGUCGCAACUUUAUUUUUUUAUUUAAUUUCUAUAUUGUUUAUCUAUUAAAUAAAAUUAAAAUAAUUUAAACACAAUUUUAUCUUAAUGUAUUACAAAAUUUAAUUAAAAUAAAUGAAAAUUGUUAUUUGGAAUAUAUGGAUUUUAAAAAUAAUAAUAAUUUUCAUUUAAAUAAAUUUUACAAAUAAUAUAUAAUGCUGAUUAUAUAGUUUUAAAUAAUAUUUUAAUAUAUGAAUUGUUAUCUACAUAUUUAUUUAAAUAUAUUACAAGAAUUAAAACUAUUUAAUAACAUAUUCAUCAUAAAAUAAAACGAGAAUUAUAAAUUAUUAUUAUUAUUAUUUUAAAAUAUUUAUUUAAAUAAAACUAUAUGAGCAUAGGUUGUAACAUUCUACAUAUUUAUAUAGGUAAACCAUCAUGAUAAAAACUAUUAUCAUAAAAUUUUGCACUUUUUAUUAUAUGAUAUGUAUAAAAUAGUUCAAUUAGAUAUGAUUAAUAAUAAUAUUUAUGCUCAUAAAAUUAUCAAAUUAUAUAUUACAAUGUAUUUAUAAUGGCUCAAAUAUUAAAUAAUGGUUUACGGGUUGUAAUAUAUAAUAGUUCAAACAUAUUAUAAAUUUGAAAUAUAAUAUAUAUUAUAUUGAAUUAUUAUUAAUAGUAGAUAAUACUGUUAUAAUAAUUUAUAGUAGUAAAAGUAAAGGGUGAGCUAACAAUUCAGUGUGUAACUCAAUCCAAACAAUCAGCACAAAUACAGAUACAGUAACAAAGAUGAAUAUAGAUACAGAUAUAAAUCCUACUUCAUCCACUACACACCAUAUUUGUUCAUCCCUAGACAUCAAUUAGAGUAUUAAAUACUCAUGCAACCUUACCCACCUAGAAGUGAGCGUAUGUCACUUUUCAGAACAGUGCAAUCAAGCUACCAGAAAUAAUGUAAUAAUCCGCCAGAAUUAGAUAAGUGUGGUCAAGCCAUCAGAACAAAUAUGUGGUUUAAACCACCAGAUAAGACAGAUCAUUAAAUUGUUAACACUUCCUCCAUCAUAUUAUUAUCCCACCUUAAUGCAUAUGCAAACAUUAAUCAGGUAACAAAUGCAUAUAUAUCAUACACGCUAUACGUAUCAGAAUAUACUAUCAUGCUUUUAGAAAUUGCACAAACAGAAUAUUAGAUUUCAUAUCUAUAAGUCAUACAUAACACAUUAUGAAACCUACAAAGUGGCUAAUCUCGAAUCGUACUUUAAAUACGGCCUAACUAAAUUUUAUAGAAAAUGAGCACACAUGCCCAUGUGACCCACACGGUCUGGCACACGGCCUCACACAUACUCAUGUGGCCCACAUGACCCACUUAACUUAGCCCAUGUGGCUCACAUGGUCGUGUGAUUUACACGGUCUGGCACACGGCCAUGUGGUGUCGACAAUGAAUUUUUUGGCUUCGCAUCGUUCAUUGUUUUUCGAGAUUAUCAUUACAGACUUGGUCGUUUUUCGAUACUAACACCACGAAAAAGAUUCCAGAACUUAAAACAACAUUUAACACGAACAAUUUAGCAACGAUACACUAAAUAUAAUCCAUUAAUUCAACCACAACCACUAACAUUAGGCCUUAACAAGCUGGAAAUCAGUCUUUUGGGCAUUCGAUUACUUACCCAGAACAGUAGUGACAGUCCUAAAAAUCUCCUAAUUCACUAGAAGGAUGUCACAUGCCUCACAAACUUCUCCUAUUGAAACAUCAAAACAAUCAAAAAAAUGAAUAUUGCAUAAUACUACAACCCCUAUUCGUCAUACGGAAACGAAUUAACCUUACCGAAGAAUGCACUUACAAGACUUACACUUAAACAAAAAUAUGAAUUCUUUGCUCGAACACGGCGCUACGGUGAUUACAUGCAAGAAAAUCAAUACCACAAGGAUUUAAACAUUGGACCUCUAGGUAAGCUGAAGUUUUACCACUAAAUCAACAAGCUCAUUCUUAUCAUUAAUUUAGCAAAAAUAAUAUAUAAGCUUAAUAUCCAAAGUCGGUGGUUGGGACAAAAAUAACAAAAAUUUAAAUGAAAGAAUUUGAACCUAGAACAUCACACACACUAACACAACACAUAACCAAUAAACUAAAUUAAUCACUUUAACAAUAUUUAACAAUUCAAAAAUAAGAAUUUUGAGACGUUGCUAAAUUGUAUCAUAUAUCAUAUAUCAAACUUACGAUACAUCAUUCAUAAAAAUUAUAACAAACUUACGAAAGGAUUUAAUGAUAUUUAAUUCUUAACGGGUAAAAACUUAUAUCAUAUAUCAUAUAUAUUUAUAUAUUAAGAAUUUGAAUCAUUAAUUAUAUAUCUAUAUAUUAUAAUAGUUUCAUCUUUCAAAUUUUCUUCCUCAUAAUUAAAGCAUAAGUUAUAUUUAUAAUAUCAUAAAUAUAUUAUAUUUCAAAAAUUUACACACAUAAUCAACCUAUACAUCGCUCGUGAUAAGAAAACUAAUUUAUAAAUAUGAAUGUACAAAAUUCGAGCUAAAUCUAGCUUCAAUUUUCCGGUGAACUUCUUUUGACUUUAAAUCUUACUUUUUCUUCUUCUUUUUGGCAAAAUAACUUAUUUGGCACAAAAACAAAAGUCGUUUUAACUUUUUUUUUCACCAUUUUUUAGCAUUUAAACUUGCAUUUUUUUGUUAAAUCACUCCAAAAUGAAUGGAAAAGUUAACAUUUUUAACUUUGCUGAUGUUUCGUACAUGUGGAUAACACAUCAACAUUUAAUAAAUCUUAAAAAAAUUAUAAAAACUAUUUUUAAAAUUUAAAAUAUUAAUAUUAUAAAAAAAUAUAAAUAUUUUUAAAAAUUAAUUAAAUGCUGAUGGGUCAUCUACGUAGCAAUCCAUAUGUAUGUCAUGUCAACAAAGUUAACAAAUAUUAAUAUUUUCAUCCAUUUUAGGAUGAUUUAACAAAAUAUAUAAAUUUAAAGACUAAAGAUGCGAAAAUAAUUAUAAGACCAAAAUGACUUUUUUUUUUAAUUGAAGGACGAAAUAAAUGAUUAUGUAAAGUUGUGAAUAUUAAUAUUACCAUAACAAUCAUAAUUCGCUUAUGGUUUAUUCAUUUUUAGGGUUUUCCUUACUAGGAGUCUAGGAUACUUGAAGGCAGAUAUUAUUAUUAUUAUUAUUAUUAUUAUUAUUAUUAAAUUUAAACAUAUUUUUUUAAUUAAGGAACAAUAAUUUGGUCCGGGUCGGUCCUUGGACAGUAUUGUAAUUUCCCAAGUUAUUAACAUUUGUUUAGGGUUUCUCAUAGUUAAGAAUUAAGUGGGCUAAUUUCCCAACUUAGAUUUGAUGAUACGAUUAAAAAAUAGGAAAUAUCAAAAUAUGAUCAUAUGAAUUAUUAAUACUAGUUUUUUUUUAUCUGAGUAAAUAGAUAAUUACUUGAAUCAAUUUAAUAAAAAUUAAUAUACUAAAAAAUACAAUUCCAUCAUUUUAAUAGUUUAUAUAUUUAUAAUUUUUAAAGAAUUAAAUUAAUAUUUUAUCAUUUUAGGGAGUUAAAAUUUAAUUUUACUAUUAUUAAUUUAAAAUUUUAUAAAUUAUAUGUACAUACCCAAUUUUGCCAAACCCAAAUACAUUUCAAACCCUUACUAACCCAAGUCUGUUUACAAUAUUUUCAGCCCAAUUAGCCUAACCCAAGUACUACUAGCCCAAUACCCUAAAUUAACCUAGCCCAGCAGCCCAAAACAAAUUAGCAGAGAGGAAACCCUAAUUCCACUUGCCUCCUUACUUGCGCCGCACGCUCUUCUGCCCUUGGCUACCACGCCCCACUUUCUUCUGACACCAGCACUGGCCACCUGCUCCACCAUGCCUCUGCCACCGCCGUUCGCCCAUACCCUGCAAAAUGAAACAAAUGCCAAGACAGAAGCAGACAGCACAAGCAGUAACAGAGAAUAAAACAAACAAUACUUUAAUAUGGGAAUCGGCUAUAAAGCCGAAAUGGAAAAUCUGUAAAAGGGGGGAUUUUUGCUAUGAAAACAAAGAUUUUCUUUCAAUUUUAACAGAUUGAAUACAAGAACCAUUCGAAAAUACAUAUACAAUCAGGGGCUCUAACACCAAAUCGGAGAAUCAAAUCUAAAACCUAAGGUGACUUUUCUUUCAUUUUUUCUUUACUAUUUUGAGUUUGUUUUUUACACAAAAAUACUAAAAAAAAUAACAAAACACAUAAAAACAUAUAUAUUAUUAAGCAAAAAAAAAGAAAAGAAAAUUUACCUUUUCCGGCCACCGUGCACGGUGGCCGACGCCGACGAGUCUCCGGUAACCGUCCGGCGACCGGACCCCUGGCCGGAGUCCCACCGAAAAUCGCCCUCUCCCUCUCCCUCUCCCUUUCUUUUCUUUUUUUUCCUUUCCCCAUCCCCAAAUGAAUUUUUUUUUAAUUUUUAACUUAUAUAGGGGACCAAAACGUCCCCCCCUUUAAUAAAUAAAACGACGUCGUUUUGGACGCGGGUCGGGUCGACCCAACCCGCACCAGGGCAGGAUCCGCGUGUUUCUUAGCGGAAGGGAAAUUUGCGUGCUCGGCCUUUCCGCUUUUCUGAGAUUUCACAAUUACGUUUUUUAUGUUUUGUAAUUCGGCCCUAGAAUUUUUCAUCGUUUUCAAUCUGGUCUCCGUGCUGCGCAACGUUUAGAUAGUUGGGAUUAUUUUCAAUUUUGGUCCCUCCAGGUUGCGCGUGCCUCACAUUUUGAUCCCUCCUCUUUGUUUCCUUUUUAAAUUGACCCCACAACAUUGUUUUUAAUUUAAUUUUAGUCCUUUUUCGUUAUUUUUAUUUCCUUAUUAAAUACUCUUAUUAUUUUUAUAUUAUUAAUUUUAUUAUGUAUUAGUUUAUGUUUUAUUAUACAAUUAUAUAUUUAUAAUAUGUAUACACGCUUAAUAUAUUUGUAUAUACUUAUAUAAUAUUAGUACUAAAAGUUUUUAUUUUAAUAUGUAUAUAUUACCUAAAUGUUUAAAAUUAUAUAUGUACGUAUAUUCUUCAUUAUGUUCUUAAUACUAUACUUUACAUAUAUCGUACAUUUUUGUUUCAAGUUUGCUUUCAUGUAUUGUUUAGUCAAAAUUGUUUUAUUACUCAUUUUAAAAUUGUUUCACAUACUUUGCUUUAAACAUUAUAUCUCUUUCAUAUUAUGCACGUCAUUUUUAACUCUAUAUUGUAUAUCACAAUCUCAUAUAUUAUGUAUGUACUUCUCAUAUUAUUAGUUAUGUAUAUAUUCUUUACAUUAUCUUAUGUACAUAUAUUUUUCAUAUUAUAUUAUAUACCUAUCCUUUUGAUACCAUGUUGUAUAUAUUUUCAAUACUAUAUUACAAAAAUUUUUACCAUAUUAUGUAUGUUAUGUAUAUACGUUUUAAUGUUUUUGUAUUAUCUUAUAUGUAUAUUUUAAUAACUAUAUGAGGUAUGUAUUUUUAACACCGUAUUAUGUACAUAACUUUCAACAUCAUUGUAUACACACUUUUUAAUACUAUGUUAUUUAUACGUUUUUAUAGGUAUCGUGUACAUGCUCUAAAUACCAUCAUGUAUAUAGUUUUUUAUUGUUACUAUUAUGUAUACAUAUAUAUAGUAUCAUUAAUAGUUCUAAUAUCAUGCUCCCAUCACUUUGCUAACUAUUAUUAUAUGUUUGUAUAUAUUAAUUCUUAUUUCGCGUUUAAUACUAUUGUUAACAUAUUUAAUAUCGCAUAUAUGGCCAUUGUUUUAAUAUUCUCGUCGUAUUUAUCAUUUAUUUCAACAUAUUUCUAGCCCUUCCAUUUGUUCACUUUUAUUUCAUAUCAAUUUUGCUUGGCAUUUCUUCGAAAAUCUUAUUCUCGUUUUCUAAUUAAUUUCAAUAAUCGAGGCAACAUAUCGACUUAACAUUAAGUCAUCGAGUUCAUCGCUAUGUUGGGUGAACGUCAAUUGACACGUGUUAAAGCGAUAUACCCUUCUCAAAAAACGGAAUAAACUAAAAUUUCUCGUUUUUUAAUCGGAUCACGACUAAAUUUUACAUUGAACCCGAAUUUUUAAAAAUCAAGACAACCUGUGUUUAUGAGAUACCAAUUUUUGGGCGUCGCGAGGGUGCUAAUACCUUCCUCGCGUGUAACCGACUCCCGAACCUUAAUUUUUCUCUGGCUUUUAACGUAGACCUAAACUCAGUCUUUUUCUCGUUUUUAAAGAAAAAAGAAAUUUAUUAGGUGUUCGAUCACACCUAGGAAAAAGGAUCGGUGGCGACUCCCCCUUUUAUUUCAAAAUCGAACUUCAGUUUCCAAACUUUUUCACUAGAUCGCCACAAUUAGCGACCCCGAAACCAAUUUUUACGUCGCUACAUUAUAAAUGAGACUAAAUAGAAAAUUUUCUAUUUUAAGAAGGCUCAAAGACCUUGCCAGCCUCCUUGACUUCACCAUUGAAAUCUAGAAUAUACUCCUCACUAUGCUUUGGAAAAUUAAAGAUUUGAAAUUAUAUUAUUGUGUAAUAGAUAUAAUUAAUUUUUAAAUAUAUAAAUAAAGUUAAAGUUAAAAUUAAAUCACUGUGAUAAAUUGUAUAGAAUAUAGAUGAUUUAAGACAUGAUGCAAAUAAAACAUAGUUAAAUAAUUAAUAUAUAGCAUGCCAUAAUAAUAAAGGUGAAUCUAGAGGGUUCACAGGGCUUGAUUCUCCUAAAAUAGAAAAUUAUUAUUUAGAUUUUUUUAAAAAAUUUAAAAUUUUAAAUUAAUAAAAAUAAAAUUGUACUUUGAUUUCCCUAAAAUUAUAAAUUUUUUAUUCAAUCCUUUUAAAAAUUAUAAAGAUAUAAACUAUUAAAAAUUAAAUUUUCAUUUGGCCCCCUAAAAAAAUAUUCUGGCUUCGCCCCUGCAUGAUAAUAAUAUUAAUACAACACAAAUACACAAAAAAAUCAAAAUCUAUACAUAACAAUUAUUUACUUGUAUAAUUUUAUAAUAUUUUGAAUACAAAGAAAUAACACAAACAAUUUUCUCUAAAUUGAAUCACUCAAAUAAAAUAUUUUAAAUAUCUCAUGAUUUUAAAAUAUACUAUAAGGAUAAUUUUUUAAAAAUAAUUUAUUAUGAUAAAUCAUAUAAAUUAAAUAAAGAAACAAUACUAAUCCAACAUAAAAGAAAUGUAAUAAUAAUAUCAUAAAAAAUAUGUUCUUAGUUAAUGAUUUAGUCUGUACUUUGAGAAUUAGAGAAAACUCGAGUUCGAGAUUCAAUUAUAUAUGAGAAAAGUAUUAACAACCUCACAAUAACUUAAUACAUGUUGUUUUAAAAUUUUGAACCCAGUAUUUAAAUAUGAUCCCGUAAAAUUUAAGAAUGCAUGAAAUUUAUUAAUUAAGUGAAUUUGAUUUUGGAAAUAAACAAAAUACUCAAUUUAAUUUUAUUAUAUUUUUUAAAAUUUACUCACAUUAUAACAUUAAGAACAACAAAUGAGAGCGUAUCCAGUAAUUUUGGCAACAAUCUCUUUAAUUUUCGUAAUGCUAAAAUAUUACCUUUUUUUUUAAAAUUAAAUCGAUGUAAAGAAAUUCAUAGGUGCAUUUUCAUAUAAAUAAUUGAAUUAUUCAAAAUUACAUGCAUUUAGAGAUAAAUAUUUUACCCAGCACUACGCUUGUUCGACUCGUAAAAGGCAAAAAUUAGGAUUCAAAAUUAAAUUAUAAUUUUUAUGAUAAUAAAAAUUACUUAGGACAUCAUGUUCUCAAAAACUCAAACCUUUAUCAACAUAGAAUUGAAUCGAAUAUCGUUUUCAUCUUCCCAAGUUUCUAUACAUAAACUAUGAACACGGAAUUAAACAAUACAAAAAUGGUAUUCUUCUUCCAUUGACAUUUGAUAUCAGCUUCAGAAAAGGCAAAAGACAAGAAUAAAGAGAUAAAACAAAAGAUUAAAUCAAUCCUAUAUCCUUGACUGACAUAAUUUACCUUAAAAACUCUAUACUUUAACCAAUCCCACCUAUAUGAUUUUUCUGUUUUCCUAUACAUAACUUAAAGCUUACUUGGAACCAAGUCAUUGUAUUGUAUUUCAUGUAAUUUUUUGAAGCAGAUCCUCAUCUCCUCCAUCUGCAUUGAAGGAAUAGAUGUCGACCGGGGCCACCGUGCAACCCAUGGCAUUCUGCUUGGUUCUUUUAUUACAAAAGGAGCCUCGGUGUUUGUCUAGAUAGAUUACAAUCACGGUGAUAUCGUCGUGAAAAUGGCGCCUUAUCCCCUUUUUUAUUUUCUUGAUGUCACUGUAUCUCAUCUCCCUUUUCUUUGCAACUUCUUGAAGUACAGCUCUUACCAAUCUCCUGGCAAUACCCUGCAAGCAUUCAAGCAAACAAAUAUCAAUAAUGAAAUGCAUUGCAUUUCCAUAGGUUUCAUUAGGUUAAUGGAAGAACACGAAUACUCACGGCUCUCGGGUUUUUGAAAACGAUGUUUACAGCAGCUUCAUCACUCAACUGCUCCCAUAGGCCGUCUGAUGCAAAGAUGAGGAAUUGAUCCUGUGGCUUAAGCUUUCUAAUAAGGAUCGUUCUGCUGUAAUAACCGGCCUUUUAAGAGGAACAGGGUUUCCGAACUGCUGGAAGAUCGGAUCUCUAUAAAACUCAGGUUUCUUCAGGUAAACAUCACCUAUAGAUCUUGACACCUGAAAUAAGAAAAACAAAAAUGGCUUAGACCAGCAUGAUCACUCACAUGCUCAAAGAUCAUGUAUUAAUCAAUCAUCUCCAGUUCUACAAUCCAAUGUAAGAUAAAAGCUAAUGCAUCUUAUUCUCUCGAUUCGUGAAUGGAUCGAAGUAAAAAGCUCAACUUGCCUACCAAAGUAAAGGGGAACAACAUCACAAAAAGAGAAGAAAAACAUAAAAACGAGAGAGCAUCGAUUCCUUGCAGUUACAUAAGCCUAGCUUUAUGCUUCAGGGGCCUGCAUUUGUCCAUCUCAUGCAUAUAAGGCAUACUAUAUGGAAAAUAGCAGCAUGAAACAGUACUGGAAAUCAGACCAAAAUAUUCUUGGAAAAGUCGAAAAACUCAGAAUUAUAACCAUUUUUUAGAAUGAACUUCCAUUCUAAUGCACAAUGUAUACAUCCAUAAUUAUACCUCUCCAUCAAGCAAAAAGAAACAAAAUGGUUGCAAGCAAUGCCUACGAAGAGGAAGUUAAUUGGCAACUAAUUCUAGAAUCAACAUAUUGAUCAUUUCUCAAGCAGACUAGUUUUGAACUAAACGAUUAUAAAUCAACUUGUCAAUAAAAUUGUACCUGGAUUAUGCCCUUAAUCUUCCAAACUCCGCGGGUGUAAACGACUAUAUGUGAGUCAUCUGGAUGAAGUUCCUCGACCUCCUUUCGAACUUCCUCGACUCCAACAUUAUGAUCAGUUGACAACCUCUCUGCCACUACUGUGUUUUCCUUAUCCCCCGAAGCUUUCCUGCCAAGAACAGCUCUCGAGUCACCGAGAUUCGCCACGUAUAACACAUCAUUCGAAAUUGCACCAACUAGACAGCAUGAUCCAACCGAAGCAAUUUGAGGCCUCACGGACAAUGAUCGCUUCACCAAACGCAAAAACUCCUCUUCAGUGGCAUUGAAUGCCUUCUUUAUCACAUCUGCAGAUAAUCCCCCUUGUUCUGUAGCAAAUUCUACAAUGAAUAAAGAAAAAAAAAUUUAAGGGUCUCCAUCAAUCUUUUUUAGAAUCCAAGUGCAUGCUUAUCACUGAAAAGUGUGCAAAACAAAGAAAAAUAAAUGACCUGAAAAAUGCCAAAACUUGAACUACACUUACUAAUUAUUCCGAAAAAUUCAAGUCCAGACAACCCCAAGUAGAUACAAAUUUAGACAAAUAGUUCAUAUUCUCUUUUCCCAUCAAAACAUAGUGCUACAUGACUGUGGAGCGGGGCAAGAUAGAUAUUGUCAAAUUCAUUACUGUUCCAUUGCUGGCAUGAUCUGCCUCGACCCCACUCUGCUUCGCCAUAAAUGUUAAAACUUGAAUAUCAUUACUUUUAAUAUGCAUAAUCUAUCAAUACCUCACCUAAUAUAUACAUUUUUACUCGUUUUAAAAGUUAAAUAUAUAAGAAUAGAGCAAAUAUCAAAAUUAAGUGCCCCAUUGGUCCCUCUUUUACUGUUAAAAAUUAGAAAAAGAAAGUCUAUUUGGAGUCAUCAGUUCGAAAUCUAUCAAACUAAAUACAUAUUUGAUGAUUCCAUAGACAACUUAUGAUUUUCCUGACAAGGUCAUAUCUAUAUACAUACAUGAUCACAUGUUCAUUCAUGUCAUACAUACAUAGGAAUGUUGAAAUAAAGAGGGAAAAAGGGAAUUACUGUGGAGAAAAGGGAAGAGAUGUUUGUUAACAAAACGGGAAGCUUCCGGACCGCCAUGACCAUCGUAGACGCCAACGUAGGUAGCAAAAGGAGAGGUGAAGACUUGGCUUUGAUCUUCGAGACAGUUGUUAGCCUGCACGACGGCGAUGGAGAAAUCACCGGAAGCGUGGGGUUUAAGGUCAGCGUGCCACAUGAGAGCAUCCCCACCAGCUCUAACGCCAAGACAACGUUCGAGCGGCCUGGAAAGGGACCGUAACAUCAUCAUCAUCGUGUUUAAAAAAUAAUAAUAAUCCCUUUAUAGGGGAUUUGAUUAAAUGAAAACCUUUUCGAUGGUUUCAAUGGGGGGUUUCACUUUGGGGGAGAGGAAAAUGGAAAGAUAUUAAGAGGGAAAGAGAGAGUAGAGAGUGGGGUAAAGUGAAUGGAAAAGAAAUGCCGCGUAAAGAGAGGCAGAUGAUGAUGACCAACGACCCCCGAUGCUUGCUGUAAUUACUUCCCACUCUACGCGUUAACCACCCUUUUUCUUCUUUUUUGACUUUUAAACCCAAAUCCUUUUCUUUUAUUUUUAAUUUAUUGAAUGGAGACACUUAGGUCUAAUUUAAUAUUUCAAUUUUUAAAGAAUCGUAUCAGUGAUUGAAUUAUGUAUCUACUUAUUCUCGAUUUAAUCGGUUAGUUUAGCUCAAUUUAGGCCUGUUCAGAUUAUUCAACUUAAAAAUUUGUUCGAAAAGUGAGAUGAUUUAGGUAAAAAUAUAUGUUUAAAAAAUAAAUUUUAAUAAAAAAAUAAGGUAUAUUUUUUAAAUAGAUUGAGUCUUAAUAUUUUUUUGUUCAGGCUCAACUUGAUCUGGCUCAAAUUUGUAAAAAAAAAAAAUGUUGUUACUUUGUCAUUGUUUUACUGUCAUUUCGCUAUUAUAUUAUUACUAUUUUAUUGUUUUUGUUUAGAUAUUGUAUAAUUAUUUUUUUAUUGUUGAUUUGGCUACUAUUUUAGAACCAUUUGCUUACUAAGUUGCACUUAUAUCUUGGUGUUAGUUAAGUAUAAAUAUCUUUUAAAAAUUUGUUUUCAAUUUAUUGGGAAACAUUUAUUGCUCCAACUGACCUAUGGAUAGCUCUAGUUCAAUCCUUUUGCCCGAAUUGAUAUAUCAAUUGAUUUAUUGGUUCAACUAAUUCGAUUAGUUGAUUUUAUUUGAUUUGAUUCAAAAACACUAAGUGUUAUUUCAAGUUUAACUUAAUUUAUAUUUGUGUUGAUAGUUUAAAUUAUUUUAAUUUUAAAUCAUUCAAAUUCAACACUUAAUUUUUUGGGUCAGAUCGUUUUAGGACUAUUUCAUAUUAUAAUUUUAUAAAAAGGAAGUUGAACUGAAUAAUAUUUAAGUUUUUGAGUUGAAAUUCAAAUCAAUGUUAUUAAAUUGGGUCAUAAUUAAUAGGUGUACUAGAAUCUAAUUACAAAUAUAUAUCUAUAAGAUAAAACCAAAAAUAAAGGAUUAACAUCUGACCAAGUAUUGACAAUGCAUUGUUAUCCACAAAUUUAAUUAGAUACAAAACAAGAUAAACACUGUAAUGUGAAUUUCGUAUGUUAACUUAACGGUUAGGAUAUUCAUCGCUUCAAAUGUGAUUUGGGAUUGAGUCACAUUAUCUCUAAUAUGUCCUCUACCAAAGAAAAUGGAGGACUAAAGUUUGAAAUCUUAUUUAGUAUUUACAGCCAUGAUCAAUUUCUCUUUAUGAUCUCCACCCAUACAAUAAAUGUGAAAAGUGUAGCAGUACGAAUACCAUGUUUUUAUAGGGGCCGCCAUUCAAGAAUAUAUUACUUCCUCUGAACCUGACACUAAGGCAUGGAUAGCAACUUACAAUGUAUCAAAUUAAACACUAAAAUUAAACUCAUAUAUCAAAUUGAGAUUUAAAAAAAAACACUCAAAUACAAAAUUUGACAUUAAAAUCAAACGCAAGUACCGAAAAAUAUAUUAAUCCAUAUUCAUAAACCUUUUUCUUUGUUUUUGCACCCGUCAAAAUUCCAAGACUUACAUAUCUCUAAUUAAGAGCAUCAUCAUUUACAAAAAUUAAAAAAUUAAUCCCUCUACUUUAAUUUGUUAUAAUUUGUCCCACGUAAGUUAUAACAACCGAAAAGUUAAUCUAAUUAAGUAAUAUUGUUAAACCUUAUCAUUGAAUUGUUUGUUUGGAAACCAGCAAUUUAACAACUUAUAUGCAACAAAUUAACAAAACUCAUUUGUUCAAGUUCAUGUUUUGAAUAACACCUGGACUAAAUUUCCAAUUUUCAUAUGCUACAAUGACUAAAUUUUGACAAAUUAAAGUAGAGGGACCAACUUCUCAAUUUUCAUAAAGUAGGGGAUGAAAAUCAUAAUUAGACCAUGUAUAUGUUCUAUCGUGUGAGUUGGGGCCUGUUUUAUAGUAUACUUCUACAGUAAGGACAGUCCCCACACGUUCUGAGCCAAGGAUCUAAGCAAGCAAAGUGAAACCUGUGCCCACACGGCAGCUGAGUAAGCACAUCUCCUUCUCCGAAGCUUUCAAGGCAUAUACUGCAAUCUCUUGAUUCCCUUGAUGUCUUCCUUUCAACAUUGAUGUCUUGGCUGCGGAAAAUUUCCAGCGGCAAACGGUCCAGAGCCUCCUGAGUAAGUCCAGGAGGCUUCUUGUUUGUUUCUCGUAACAAUUCGAAUCUUUCUGCUUCAGAGGUUAAUGGGGAACCCCUAGCUGCCAACCCUGUAGAGAGUUCACUUAUGAUCCUAAAAUCAUCGCGCGUUACAUGCUCCCGGUGGGAAGCAUUAGGUGGAGCUCUAUUGCUUCGCCUGAAGAAAACAACAGGAAGAAACCGUAAUGAGAGGGAAAAGAAAAGAUGUACAAAAUGUUUAAAUAGCGGUUAAUGCAGGACCUAACAUAUAUGUGUCCAUUAUUGAAUGCCACGUGCAAGUAAAAUUCAGGAUCGAGUGGUCCACAUGCUUCUCUCAAGCAGUAGAUGGUAGUUAGGAAACGAGUAACACUAAUUCGCUGUGUACAUGAAGUGGUACCAAAAGUGGUCUGGAUAGUCAUAGUGGCUAAUGAUGUUACUACUUAGAACCUAUGUUACUCAGAGUCAGGCAUGAGUUUCAGAUAUGGAUAUGUAUCCAGUACAGGUAUAAUUACUUUUUCUAAGUUUUUCCAUAUAUUUAAAAGAUCCUUGGAGGUCAUAUCCUCGUAUUUGUGUGUCAGACACGAGUGUCAAAUGAAGAGUCCGAGCAACAUAGCUUAGAACCACUAAUAUUACCAUAGAAUAGGAAGCACCAGCAGUGGGACUGGACCAUAUUGAUAGUUAGCAAUGCGAGAACAACAGGCACUAAUGGGCAGAAAGCACCAAUAACAGCAGUGGGCCUGGAAAUUAAGGUACUACUGGUAGGUAAGGAGUGACGAAAGCAAUAUCAGCUUGAAUGUAUAAGCAGAAGUGGGACAGAAAUUUCAAGCAUAAAAACAAAAAUUCAAUCUAUUCAAGAAUAUAUACAUAUAGAGCGAGAGAGAGACUAAAUUCAACUUAAACAUUUUCAAGGAAAAAAAGAAAAAGCCUGCCGAAAUAUGAUGAUUAUGUUAGGCAAUUCCAUAGAAGAAAGUUCAAAUUCACUAGUGACAACCCACCCAACUGACCAGCUGAAAAGUCCAUGGUAAGUUGGAAAAUAGUUUGGACCGAGUGAAAUUAGUCUCAACAUUAACUGGCUACAACCCCUAACAGCUCUACCAUAUGAUACGGUAUCUCUAUUCUUACUGCUAAACCAAGUCAGACUCCUAGUACCCCUAAUACAAGACUACAUAUUUAUCAUUUGGAUUCACUAAUAAUAAGGUAGCACAAUGAACUGCAAGGCACUGAUUCUUCCUACAGGUUACGAUGCAAAUUGCUCAUAUGAUAGACACUUCUUUUGAUCAUAUUGCACCCUCAAUAGAUCCACAAAAUCAAAGUUCAAGAGCAAAAUCAUUCUGAAUUUAGGUAAAACUUUCACAGACACAGAGCUCCACAUGACUUGUCUAUCCUAUCAUCAAACUUCAGAAAUAAGUAAUAGAGAAGAGAUGUGCUGUGCUGUGCUGUCUUUAAAAAAUGAAAUUUGUGACAGACCAAGAAUAGUGGGAUAAAUUUGGUCCAACUUGAGUAGCAAAACAAAUUGAGUGCCACAGGCAAGUUCACCAUCAAUGAUAAAAGUGGCUUCCAAUUGGUGUCAAAGAUCAUGCAGAUAAGAAAGAACAUGAUUCAAUAGCUAUUAUAAUUUACUUGUUCUUGCAGUUUGACCAGUAAUAAUGCUGUACAUAAUACAUGGACAAGAAAUGCAAAUACUAAAAGUUGCAAAUUUGCAGAGAGCUCUAGGUAACCUGUUUGCAGAAACAGACACGCCUCUUAGUCUUUCAACAAGCCUUGCUCUUGCAAGCAGCACAGCUCCAGGAAGCCUCUCAUUUGCUCUCAAACUUUGCCUGCUUGAACUGCUUACACCAUCUGCAUUUAAUCCAUAGCUCGAACUGAGCUCACCAGUACCUUCAUCAAACCCUUCUCUAGCAAGCCUCUCACUUGAUCUCAAACUUUGCCUUCUUGCAUUGCUUACACCGACUGCAUUUAACCCAUUGCUCGAUACAAGCUCGCUGGUACCUUCAUCAAACCGCACUGAUGAACGCUCCUGAAAAAGUAAUAUCCAAAUAUAAGCGAUUCAGGCAAGGAGAAAUAAAUUACAUAGACUAGGUAAUAAUAUCAAACUUCCUUGUUUAUUCUUGUAUAUGUGGCAAAAUCUUACUGCAAGUGAGCUUAGGCUUUGCUUGGUACCAAAGAUGGAAAGGAUGAACAUGGAAAAUUUGUUCAUCAAAUGUUAAGAUUCAUAUCCACCUUAUUACUUUGUAACUUAACCAUCAGAUAAACAAUUUUCCAAUUCACUCCUUUCCGUCGUUCAUAACAAGCAGAGCCUUAGGGUUUAGAAAAAUUGUCAAGAAAAUACCUAUUCUUCAGUAAUUUCACUGAUAAAUUUAGCUUAAAACUAAUAAUUUUCAGAGCAAAGUUCAGUAUUGAAGCAUAAAACAGACAACGAAUAAAGUACCAAUAAAUUGGUUGAAAAUCCAAUUCUUAAAUUAAAAAUAAAAAAAUAAAUAUAUUUUCCCUUCCAAAAAUAAUACUUAAUUCACCCCCAUUUUUCCUUUAAGUUCUCUUUUUUCUCAGCAAUAAAAUAAAAACAAAUACCUAACAAGAAAUAAAUAAUUUGAAAAAAAAAAGGUAAAAGAGAAAUUGAGCGCACAGAGAGCGAGGAAGCACGGGAGCUGAAGUGGCGCACGUGGGGAGACCGGCGGAGGGAAUCACCGCCGUCCAAAUCAUGCCUCUGAUUGUGAUGACUGAGAUGAUUCCGGCGAUGGUAAUUCCGUUCAAUUGAGGACCCAAUCCCUGAAUCCGGAUCGGGUCGACCCACUCUUGACCUUCGUGUGUAGAAUAACUCCGAAGCGCUUGUCAUCCAACUAAAACCCCCAAAUGGUGUUUUGAUCUGAUCUUACCAAUUAAAAUUUAUUUUUAAUUUCUCCAAAAAAAAUUUAAAUAAACAUGCAAAUUGUAAUUUGGAUUAAGAAAUAAAGGAAGAGAAGCUGAUGAACCCUACGAAGAAACGCGGGAGAAAUUCCUGCGAAUGAAAAUCGAUAGCCUUAGCUUCAAAGGAAAUGAAUGGAAAGGGAUGUGCGUUUUUUUAACCCUAAAUGGUUUAAUUCCGGUUUUAGUCCCCCUCCUAAGCUAAAAUGUAAUAUUUAAUCUUAUAUUUUAAUUUUAUAUACUUUCGUCUUUGAUAUUAAAGAAUAAUAUUUGAUACACCGCAAAUACAUUAUCAUCGAACAAUAACAUGAUACUUGAGUAUAAACAAAAUUAGUGAAAGAAUUAUCAAUAAAUAUUAACAAUUUUAUUUAGUUUUUUUUUUAUUUUUAAAUUUCACAUUUCGAAUUUUAGAUAUAUUUAAAUAAAAUUAUUAAUAUUUAUUUAUAAGUCAUUCAUUAUUUUUUAUUUCAUUAGCAUUGAGGUGUCGUGUUAUUAUUCAUUAAUGGUUGACGAUUUAUUUUUAUUAAUUUUUAUCAUUAUAACGAUGAUGUGAAAUCUUUUAUUGACAAUUUUGUUAUGGUCAAGGUAGCCAUAAUAUAUGUUUUUUAAUACAAAUUCUGGAUAAUAAUUAGUAAUAUUAAGAAAGUAAAAAAAUUAAAUCAUGUUAAAUUAAUCGAGGUUUAAGGGUGUAAAAGCUCUUCAAUUUUUUCAAAAAAGCAAUUAAGUCUUUACUUUUUUCACUCAAUUGAGUACUUUAACUUUUAAAAUGCAUAAAAAAGGACCUUCAAACUUUUUCAAAAAAAAUUAAGCCCCUACUUUUUUUUACACUCAAUUUGGCACUUGAACUUUCAAAAUAUAUAUAAAAAAAAACCUUCAAGCUUUUUCAAAAAAAGCAAUUAAGCCCAUACUUUUUUUUUACUCAGUUGAUUGGGUAAUUAAAUUGUCAAAAUGCAUAAAAAAUAACAUUUGAUUGUUAACUUUAACAGUUAACCGUUAAAAUUAACUGCCCCUAAUUUUUUUCAAUUAAAAUCAUCCCGUGUCACAACCACAACAUGACAUAUGACAAAACAAUUAUAAAAAAUAAAAAUCAAUACAAGUUAUAAAAAGUAUUAAACUUUAAUAAAAAUAUAAAAUUUAUUAAAAUUGUAAAAUUUUAUAAAAAUCAUAAAUAAUUAUAAAAUGUAUCAAAAAGGCCCUUUAACCAUCAAUUUUUACCGUUGACUGUUAAAGUUAACGACCCCCAAUUUUUUUCUAAUUAAAGUCAUCACGUAUCGUAAUACAGUGUGGCAUGUGGCAAAAAUGAUAAAAAAAAAUAAAGAACAAUUAAAGUUAUAGAAAAAUUAUAAAAUGCUUGUUUAAAAAUUAUAAAAUACUUCUUUUGGUACGAUAAUUUUUAUAUUUUUUUAUAAAUUUUAUAUUUCUUUACAUUUUUUUAUAAUUUUCUUACAAUUUUUAUAAUUGUUUAUGAUUUUUAUAAUUUUUUUUCUAAUUUUUAAUAUUUUUAUAUUUUUAUUAAAAUUUAAUGAUUUUUUAUAAAUUUUAUUUAUUUUUAAUUUUUAUCAUUGUUUUGCCACAUUUCACGCCAUGGUUGUGACACAAGAUAACUUUAACUGAAAAAAUUAGGGUCAGUUAACUUUAACGGUUUGAUUAUUAAAUUUAACAAUCAAAGGGUCUUUUUUUUAUGCCUUUUGGCAGUUCAAAUACCCAAUUUAGUGUAAAAAAAAUAAAGGUUUAAUUGAUUCUUUUUUUAAAAAAAAAGUUUGAGAGUCUUUUUUGUGCAUUUUGACAAUUCAAGUACCUAAUUGAGUAAAAAAAAAGAACAAGGGUUAAUUAAUUUUCUUGAAAAAAUCUUGAAGAUUUUUUACACCCUUAACCCAUUAAUCAACCAACUGUGUCAUUGAAAUUUGAUGAUUUGGGAAAAUAUCUUGUGAAUAUCAAUUAGAGAAAUUAAAUCUGAAUUUCAAUAUAUUAGAGGGACUAAACCCAGAAAUUUACCGUGAAAAAGAAAAGGUAUAUCUUUAUGUGUUAGUUGAAGGACUAGUAUUUAGAUGUAGCCACGCGUUAAACAAAGUGUUCCAUUACAUCAACAUAGAAUUUAUUUUCCUUCAAUAAGAUUUUUUGCGUUGACUGUUGACCAUGGAAAAACUAUAAAUCAAAUUAUUAAUUGAAAAUGAUAUAUAUUCCUUCAAUGAGAAUCUUUUUAUUACCUUAAGUCGAGAAUUUGAUUCUCACCUUGUAUAUGGAGUAGUUUUAGAACUCGUAACUUAAUAUCUACCUCUUAAUAGACCUACAGAAUAGAAAAGAUUAGUUACUAUCUAACUUCAAUAAAUACAUUGAAAAAUAAAAAAAAUCGAUAUUAAAUGAAAUAGACAUAAUAGAUUUCUAAAGUCAACUUUGGUCAAUAUAAAUAGAAAAACUAAAUGAAAUUUGGUUUAGGUAAAUUUUGGGUUCAGAUUAAAUUUAAAAUUUAGUUAAUUUUUAUUUAAGUUAAUUAAGUUUGAUUGUAAUUUUUGAAGGUUUGGUGAUUGGGAUUUAGAUUAUUUCGGGUUAUAAUUACUUUGAGUUUAAGACAUUUUAAGUUAUUUAUUCGGGUCAUGUCUAAUUAUUUAUUUGAAUUGUUUCAAGUUUGGAUUAAUUUGGGUCGAUUUCAUAUUUAGGUUAGACAAAUCAAUUUUCAAGAUAUGAACUAGAGUUGUCUAUAAGCCAAGUCACCUAGUCUGGCCCGAAGGCUCGUCGGCAAAUAGGAGGAUUUUAACAAAAAAAUAUAUGUCCAAAAAUGAGAUUGGACAAAAAAUAAGGCUCGUUUUAAAAAUGGGUCGAGCCUCGGGUAAGGUAUUUUUUUACCCUGGCCUGACCUAGAUUUUACAAUAAAAAAAUUGUUGUUUUGCUACCAUUUCACUAUUAUGUUGUUUCAAUUUGUUGAAAAAUAUUUAUUUUAAUAUUUUUUGUGUAUUAUAUUUUUAAUUUUUUUUUAUAUAAAAAAAUUAAUAGUGUCAGACCAUACCCGGGUUUUAGUAUUUUUAUCCAAGCCAGGCUUGGACAAAAAUUUAAGCUCAUUUUUUUGGGCCAAAUUGGGCCCAAAAAUUUAUCAGGACCAACCUAAUUCGACCAUGGACAAGUUUAUAAAAUAGCUAUUUAUAUAUAAAAAAAAAAUUGUCCAUGAGCUAUUUACUAUUUAGAGUAUUUAAAUAUGUCGAUUGAGAUUUAAUUCUUUUUAUUUUGAGAGGUGGAAUAAAAUAAUUCAAUUAAAGUGUAAUGAUGAUAUACCUAUAAUGCAUUAUAUGUCCCAUUCUUCUAUCUUUUUAGGGAGUCAAUGAUUAUUUAUAGCUAUUAUCUUUAUAUCAAAAAAACAAUUCGACUCAAUAAUUAACUACUUUUGCUAGAUUGAUUUUUGAUUAGAUUAAUAUGUUUUUAGUCAAUUUAAAUUUUAAAAAUUUUCAAAUUAUUUCAAUUUCGAUUAGUUUUAACUUUAGAUCAAUUCUUAUUCAAUUAUAUUUUAGACUCAGAAUUAAAUGGAUCGAAUUAUCAGAUUUAAUGAUUUGUAUGUAAAAUUUUAUUUAAAAUAUUUUAAAUACCACUCUAACACAAUUACAUAAUUCAUAGAUUAUAUAAUUUGAAAUUAUCAUUACACACCACCAUUGAUAAUUUCAGCUUGUAAGUCCUAAUAUUUUAUUCAAAUUUCAUAAAAACCCUUCCUUAUCUCCAUGACUAAUUUUGUUUGAUCAUCACAUAUUUGCAUGGGAAUAGUGGUCAUCAUGAACCGAAGACUCCGGUUUAUCAACACCGUCGACGCUUCGAACCCAGAAACUUGAACCGAAAGAAGCCGCCCGGUCCGGAACGUCAUCCAUCACCCAUUCAUGGCCUUUCGGGAAAUAUAUCCCACUCUUUGGAUGUGGAACCCAACUCGAUGAACUUUUUAUAUCGUCGUUACUCUUGCACUUCUUAUUGAUCUCCCGAUCUGCGCCUGCAAUUUUGCUCAAUGGUCGCUCAACGCGUUUUGCUUCCCUACACCCGAAUAAAGUUUCCAAAAGUCAAACAUAUUUAUUAAGUUCAUAAUGAUUUGCCUCUAAAUUUUGUACUUUUGUAUGGUUUUUUUUUGGUAAAAAUUUUAAUUUUUGGCUUUUCUAAAUACAAAACAAAUUUCAAAUUUCAUUUUUGACCAAACAAAAACAUCUCAAAAUCAUGGCUCAAACUUUAAAACGAUCCCUAAAUUUUAAAAUGUUCUAAUUGAAUCUUUAAAAAUAAAGUAUACCUAAAACACGUUUUAAAUAUGCUCUACAUCAAACAUAAACUAACAUUUAACACCCAGAUAGACAGCGAGAGUGACAAAAAAAACUUGGUUAAUACGAUACUAAUAUUUUUAGGACCCAAUUAAACCAUUUUAAAAUUUAAUGACUAAUUUAAAAUUCAUUCUAUAGAUUAAGAAAAUCUGUUGUAAUCAACCCAAAUAAUAACGACAACAUUACGUACCUUAGCAUCAAAAUCUUGGUUUUGGUAAAAGCAGCUCUUCCCAUGCAAUGCAGCUCUUUAAAACCCCUCAAAAAAGGACUCCAAUGCAAUUAUCUAGGACUUGAUCGUUUGUUUUAUAGAAUGCUUUCGAAAGUGCAGUUUUUGUACUUCAAAUUGUAUCCGAACGAAUGAAUAAAGGUUUGACGAAUAAGUUCGAUUGUGAAGGUCCUAAGAAAAUUAAAAUUUUAGAAUAUUAUAUUUCGGAAUUUCGUCUUUUUAUUUUAAGAAAUUUAAUCAUUUUAUAUUUUUCGGAUUUAAGUAUACAGGUCCAAUUAUUAUUAAAAGUGAUUCGACUAAAAAAUUAAAAAAUAUUUCGAAUUUCAAGUUAAUUGAAUUGAGUUAUUCGAUUUUUUCGAGUCAACUAGAAUAAGUAAUUCGAGUUCGAGUCGAGUUGAAUUUUACAAUUCGAAUAACAGAUUAAUGUGAAUACCCAUUUGAUCCCUGUCAAUUUUAAAAAUAGGUAAAUUUAUCUCUCAACAAAGUUUACAAAAAAAAAUCAAAAUAAUUUUCAAAAAAUUUUAAAUAUAAUUUUUAAAAUUCAGAAUAUUUAUAAAAUAUCAAAAUUGAUAUUUAAAAAAUUUAUAAAAAUUCUAAAUAUAAAAAAAAACUUAAUUUUUUUAAAAAUAAUAAUUUUUGGAAAAUUUAACUAUUUAAGUUUAUCAUACUAAAAUAUCUUCUUCUUUUUUUUCUUAUUAUGCUUUGAAAGAAUUUUCAAAUUUAUAUGUUCUAACAUUGAAUUAGUUAUAUUGUAACAAUAUUUUAAUUUGACAUUUUUUUUUAAUUUCACUUGAUUUGGAAAAUAUUCAAAUCGAGUUAGAAUGAUAAAAUGGGACUCGUCAACUCGAUUAACUCAAAAGUUUUUCACUUGAUUCGAUCGAAUGCUCACCCCAAACUAAUAUCAUAAAAAUUCUUUUGUUAAAUUUAGAUUCGUUACAAUAUUAAUUUUUUUAUUUUAUGACUAUCAAAUUUGUUUUUUUUUUCUUUUCAUUUCAAGGUGUCACAGUAAUGAAUUUAAUAGAAUAAUUUUAACAAUAUUAACAAUUAAUUUUUUUUUGACAUUUAAAAAAUAAAGAAACUAAAUUCUUAAAAAAAAAACCAAAUUUACGAAGAAUCAAAUUGGAAAAUAAAGAGAUAAAUAUAUAUUUUUUGGUGCUUAUGUUUAUCUUUGAUUUUAAUUUUGCUAUUUAUAUAUUUUUUUUUCAAAUUGGUACUUAUGUUGUUUUUAAAUUACACAAAAUGGUAUCAAAUUUAUUAUCUGACGUAUGGAAUGAUGAUGUCAUAAUAACAUUUGGGAAAUUAUAAAAAUUUAUAAAAAAUAUGUAUUAAAAAUUCAAAAUAUAAAAAAUUAUAAUGUUUGAUACCAAAUAAAAAUAACAUAAAAAUCAAUUUUUUUUAUAUAUUUUCAUAUUUUUAUAAAAAGAGUAUCAUUUUUUUAUGAAAAUAUAAAAUCAAUUAUUUUUAAUAAAAAUAACUUUUUUAUAAAUUUUAUUAAAAAUUUAUAUCAAAAUCAUGAAAAUAUUCAUCAAGUCACAAAAAAGAAUUACAAUUUCUUACCCGAAAUAUAUAUUUUAUAUUUCCAGAAUUUUUUAGAUUUUUUUUAUUUAAUUUUUGGAUAAUGACAUCAUCAUCAUCACAUAUUAAAUAAUUAUUGGACCACAAAAUAAAAGUUAGCAUCAUUUAACUUAGGUACCAUUCUGUGUAACAGUAGUCAAACGUGGGUACCAAUUUGAAAUAAAAAAAAGGACCAAAAUGAAUAUUAAGAUCAAAUACAUGUACUAAAGAAUAUAUUUAUUUUUUCAUUAAAAUAGUUUAAAUUAAAUUAUUAUUUUUUGAGAGAAGUCAAAAAUGAAAAUUUUCAUUUAAAAAGAAUUAAAAUAUUAAAUUUUAGGAGGGUCCAAGGAACCAAAGCCUCUAACUGCCGUUAGUUUGCCAUUGUCAUUAUCAAUUUACUCGCCCUGAGAGGAGUUUAGCGGCGAAGCUUGGGGAUAAUUUGUGGCCUUGACCCUCUUAAAUUUAAAUAAUUCAAUUUAAUCUCUUUCAGCCCAUUUAUUAAGGAGAGGUCAACUUCUUUAAGAAAAGUUUAUGAAGUAUGAUUCAUUAAAAGCUAGCGAACAUCCCAAUAAAUCGAUAUUAUUUCAAUUGAAUUUUUUAUCUCCCAAUUUUACGAAGAAUUAAUGGGUUCACAAAAUGAAUAUAUCUUAUUAGAUGUCUAAUAAGACAAAUCACAUACAUCGCAUCGCACUUGAUAUCAUAUACGACAUCGAAAAGCUAGUAUAUUACCACUUAAACUAAACACCUAUUUAUUAUGAAAUCUGUUGCUUCGAAUAAACGAGAAAUAACAAAUUUCUCCCGAAAAAAUCGGCCCCUAUCGUUUCCUCUUUUUCAAAAGUAAAUCUUAAUUCGCUCAGGUGAUUUGGAAUAUUGAGAUUUUUUUAGUGAAAAGAGUGGCAAGUUGGUGUGACACCUAAGGUCACUUUAACAUAUAGCUCUAAAUUCUAGAGACACUGUGAAUCGUUACUUCAGCAUAUGCCUCUUGUUUUUUUUCCUUCUUUCACCAGAAUAUAUUCAAUGCAAAGAACUUAUCUCUUACACAUUUGAUUGUUGGUUAAAUUCGAGUUUUAGUCCCUAUAUUAUACUUCCUUCCUGUUAUCGAUGUUAUACUUUAGUCUAAAUCCAUAAUAUCAACACAACUCCAAAUUCAUUAUAUCAUUUAAACAUUAAAAUUAUCUAUUUAACUUGUGAUUUAAAUAAAAAUUAAAUUAUGGUAUAACCACGAUGUGGAUAAAAAAUAAAAUUAUGUGUUAAUUAUAUUUGUAAAAGAAUGAAAUUUUAAUUAAAACGAUAAAGUUUAAAUUUACUUUAUAAUGCAAUGAUAUUUGAGUCAUUAUCCAAUUGAAUUAGUGCCUAAUAACUCGUAACACCAAUUUAAUUAAUUAUGCACAACAUUAAGUUUUAUUAUCUUUCUUUCUUUAAUAGAUUACAGUCAGUUACUUAAAAAAAUUACAGUUAAUUAUUAUUUUAUAAGGUAAACUAUCAAAAUAGUCAUUUUUGUUUCUCUCAUAUUACAUUUUGGUCACUUAUGUUUGAAAUGUUAAGUUUUAGUCACUUACAUUUAUCGUAUUAUAACAUUUUAGUCACCGAGCGUUUAUUGCCGUUAGCAAUAUAACAAUAAAGCUGAUGUGACACGUUAAAUCAUCAAUUCAAACGAAAAUUUUAAGUUAAAUUAUACAAUUGGUCCCUAUUUAUUUUGAGCAAUUUAUUUUUUUAUAUUCUUUGAAUUUUCUUUUUUCUUUUUUAUUUUCCGUUCUCUUCUGUUUCUCCCUCUAUUUUCUUCCAUUCCCUGUCUUUUUUAACGUAAAUUUUCUAUGUUUUUCAUUUCUUAAAAUUUAUCUAUUUUUUUUCUUUUAUGUACUUCUACGUUAAAAGAUAUGGAGAAGUGGUGAAAAUAGAGGGAGAAGUAG
rnacentral:lncRNA from 1 species